rnacentral:lncRNA from 1 species
GUGGAGCUGAGUGUACUAAGAGAGGUCCAAUAUGAAACUAUGCCAUUUUGAGAUAAUCAAGAAAUUUCUUUUAGUACUGCAUCCUCGAUCCGAUCGAAGUACCUUUAAAAAUUUUUUGAUUUAUUUUUCUACUUUACAUCUGAAUUUUUUGAAUCUUACAAAAAUUUUAGAUUUGUAUCUCAUAUACUUACCCAUACGAUGACUGAUCAUCAGUAAAGAUAAUGAAGCAGAGACAACUCUUUUAUUAGCACAUC